CUAGAUGUAAGUGAAAACAAUCAGCUGUAAACAAAGUUGCCAUUUGAUUAGAGUCAAGUAAAUGAUUAAUUUUGCAAAUUUAAUUUCUCCUGAUUCAGUUUACACUUAAAUUACUUAACUCUUUUGUUAACUUUUACCCUAACAAUCUAAUUGAUUUUUCAACGCCAAUUUAAAUCUUGUAAAACUACUUAAAUGGUUAAAAAAACAUCAGCAAAAAAAACAGCAACUUGGUUUAUUUUAAUAUGUUGGCUGUUAACAUCGUUUGAUCGCUUCUAAUGUGAACAUUAAUUCAUGCUGAACAGGAUGGUGAUGGUAAAAGGGAGAAACGUUAACCUAAAACGAGCCAAAGACUGAAUCAUCUUAAAGAUAAUCAACAAUUUGGUUUCUUAUUUGUCAUGAUUAAUGAUGACACAAUUAAAAUGUUGCUGAUGAUUAUUUGGAUAUCUGUUAGUUAUACUAACAUUUAUGCUGGAAGACAAAACAAUUUUGGUAAUGGGGUUCAAUUAACGAGCUGGCCUUGCACCUAAUGAACCAUCUGAAGCAUAUUCUCAACUAAUUUACUCUUUCAUGCAAUUAAUCGUUGUCGAGUUUCAACUCAUAACAGGCAAAAUGGAAGGAAAGGAGACGAGUUACUACGAGUGAUAUAACAAGGAGGAGAGGAGGGUGGAAACCAUUUACGAAAUAGAUGAAAAACAAAUCAGAUCAAGUUGUUUAACAUUGAAUUGAUAAUAUGUGAAGACAAGCGUAUUUAGGAACACUUUACCAUCCAUUAUGGUCUUACGAGCUAGUUAACACCAAUCUUGGAAGAAUAGACAAGCUUCAUCAUCCAAAACAAUCAUAUUAACAUCUUUAUCUUUGGAUCCUAUGUUGCUCAUUUUUUCCAUCGCUAAAACAUUUUGUCACAACAUUCAAGAAACAUCAUCACACUUCUAACUUCCAUGGCCACUGAGCACCUUUCGCCAUCAUUUUUAUCCUCUUUUAUUUGCUUGUCAUCAUCUAUAUUUUAUCCACAUGAAAUCGCUUGAUUUACCCUUCAAUGGUGUGGAAAUUUACUUCCCUUUGGAAAGGAGAAGAAGAUGAUGAUGAUGAUGAAAAAGAUGACAGAGACAAGAUUGUUUGGAACAUCCCAAGACAACAAUUAGGUUUAUAACCUUUUAACUUUGUUCAGCUUUUGUCCCAUUCAACGUUAAUCUUUUUACAGUAAAUCUUUAAUAUCACCUCUUUUCCUCGUCAUAUCCUCUCCCUUUCUUGAGAAGCUAUCUGCAAAAAUAUUUUUCCCUAUAAUAAAUGUUCACUGAUCAAAAAUA